rfam:Clostridium sp. CAG:167 genomic scaffold, scf38
CUAUCAGAGUUAUAACUGCCGUAGACAGCAAGUACGAAAGUGUAAGAGUGAUGAACCGCUUGCCGAGGAUGAUUGAGAAUUUUUGAAUGGAUAUUCCGGUCUGCGCGUGCAGUCGGGAUUUUUUUAUGUAAAA